GUCUUUGCGUCGGAACUAAACACAUUUAUUCUAAAAACAGUUGUUGGCAUGACACGGGUUAUGUUCUUCUCAUAUAUGUUAUGAUGGUAUGAUACUAAACCCCUAACGGGAAUGAUUGUGCCUGAUGUUCAUAUGAUGAAAUCAUAAUCUUUCAGUCAGUUUAAUUGAAGUCUGGAGCUGGCAUGUCAGUUAACUGCUAGUAGUCUGUUGUUAUUUAUGUAUUAUUGUCAUUUUGUUUAUUUUCUUUGGUUACAUCUUCUGACAUCAGACUCGGACCUCUCUUGAACUGAAUUUUAAUGUGCGUAUUGUUAUGCGUUUACUUUUCUACAUUGGUUAGAGGUAUAGGGGGAGGGUUGAGAUCUCACAAACAUGUUAAACCCCGCCGCAUUU
rnacentral:lncRNA from 1 species